rnacentral:rRNA from 1 species
AAUUCAUAACGGUGGAUGUCUUGGCUCCCGUAACGAUGAAAAACGCAGCGAAGUGCGAUAAGCAAUGCGAAUUGCAGAACCAUGAGUCAUUAGAGUUUUGAACGCAAUC